AAAAAGAGUAGUUUCUAUUAUCUAAAUUCCUGAUACAUAUUAUUUCAAAUCACUUUUAUUGCUACUCCAACUACAAUAAAAAUCAAAACAAUAUAAAUUGUUCUCAAUUGGCACAUAAUUCCCUUAAUAUUUGCAAUCUCAUCUCUAGUAGCUCUUUGUUCUUCCUUCAUCUUCUUCAGAUCAUUCUUCAUCUUUGCAAUAUCUUCUAUUACCUUCUCUAGCAUUUCUUCUAUAGGUGUUCUUUUUUCGAUUUUCCAACCCUCAUCCACGUUAAUGUUGCCACUUGAUGGAGUUGAACUUUGAUUCACAGGUUCACACCACCCA
rnacentral:lncRNA from 1 species